CUCCAACAUGGAUUAAGGUCAAAAGUGGCCCUGGAGACCAAAUUCCCUAGUGAGGAACUGCCACAUAACUUCAUGUGUCUUUUGCUUCUGAAUUAUUUCUUCUAGAAACCACCAACCACAAGCUGUCACGCUGGUAUUAUAUCUACAUAACGUUUAUUCUUCUUACAGCAAAGAGCUGGAGAAAUACAAGUGAGAACCUGUUAUUACAGGUUAAAUUGUGUAACACUCAACUUGCGCUGAGGUCCAGUUUCUUUUUAUUAUGCUCCAAUUUUGUUGAAUGACUAUUGCCUAAAAUAAAUGGGCAAUCGACAGGGGCUUAGAACUAACAGGGAUGCUUAAGUGACUUUUAUGGUAGCAGUAUUUGUUGUAACAGAAUUUGAUCUGUAUUCUAGUUAUUAGUUUUAUUCAUCACAUUGGAAAGUUGGCACCUCCACUGUUCAUGCCAUUAUAUGCAAAGCACUGUAGCAUGAAAGUCACUUACAAAGCUGUGAAAAAAACUCUCUGAACACCAGAGGCUCAUGAAACAAUAAAAGUCAGCUAGGGGGAUAUACACUGUUUGAUUUAGCUAAAUAUUCUGGAUGGUCAAAGGUUUAUUCCUUUUAAUUCCUAAAAGUUUUUUUUUUUAACCAUUGGGAUGUAAAUAUUUCUAAAAUGUUUGAUAUACAUAUUUUUGUCUUCUAAGCAUAGUUUUUUUAUGUAUGGUGCACAGGGUCAUCAUUUUAAAUAGAAUAUUGUCCCAUGAUACAGUGAGGCUCUUAAAGAUUGAGAUGUGUAUAGACUGUUUUUGACACUAAAUAACCCAUAUAUCAGGGCUUUGGAGCUUUGCAGUCUACUCAAAAUUUCCAUUUUCUCUAUUGCUGUCCUCCUUUUUCCUUCUUGUUUCCUCUAAAAGUCUGUUUCUUUCCUUUACAGUUAGAAAUAUGUGUGAAGGAAGAGCAAAUAGGUUCUGAGGAGGUGCCUGAUGACUAGAUGUAUGGCCUUUGUCUUAUGCGUUUGCUUCAUGGUAUUUAUUUCAAUUGGUUGGAAGCCUUGUUUGCUUACUUCUUAAUUCUCAGUCACUUUUGAUGGGUUCAGCAGAGGUUCUAGAUUUUUCUAGUUCUGUCUCAGUUACUCAUUGUCAAACCACUGGUUUAGAUUUUGUGUUCAGGAAAUAGGGAUAGGUAAAGCUAUCAGGUGGCUAAGCCCUAGGUAAAUGAGUUGCCAUGAAUCCUAAAAUAUUGUGAAGGUUGUGGGCCAUUUUUAUAAGGCAAAUGGUAUGCUGUGGCCGUGACAGCUGAACUCAGUAAGUGAACUUUAAAACAGAUAAGCUCCUUUUGCUGUUGUCCCUUUCCAAGAAUAUGAAGCUGGCCUGACGUCAAGCUGUUGGAGAGCCUUCAACAUGUUUAAUUAAAUCACAGACUCAGUGUCAGAGCUGGCUGACUUUCAGGAUUCUAACGCUAUAGCAAAAGAAGACAUGGUUUUGCCUCUCGUUGAUUUUCUUAUUUAUGGCCUUGGAAUAAAGAAGAUAAAGCAAGUCUAACAGUUCUCCCUUCCAAAAGUACAGUUUCAGGCCAGAAGAUUUGACUGCUACCCUUAGACUUUCUUUCCCUCACUGUACAUUGCAUUUUACAGGCUAUACAAAGCAAGACCUUCUUUGCAAAAGGCAAACUCCUUUGCCCCAAGGCCAUACUGUACAUGUGUGGGGGUAGUUGUAGGGGGAUCAGUGUUGUUAUUCACCAAUACAAGAUGGAAUCAGUGCAGCUAGGAGAGAAGAGAUUAAGGAAAGAGGCUGUGAAGUCUGCUAGACCUGGGUUUAAAUUCUGGCUUCCCGCUUAUUAGGGUGUAACCGUGGUCACAGUACUUAAUUCUCUAAAUUUGAUUCCUGAGCAACAAAGUGGGGAAUGAUAGUAUUGGUGCUGUUACUAUUAUGAUAAUGUGAAAAACAACAGGAGAGUACCUGGCCCAGAGAAAGAGCUAAGUGACAGCUCUUAUUAACAUAAAUGAAUGAUUUAAACCUGGAGAUUACAAUAGUUAACAAGCACAGACACUUAGUGCAGUCUGUUACUGACUUCAAGCAGUCUUUUGCUUUUGUUUCUAUUUCUGUGACAUCUUCUCUUAUUACGACUUUCUGUUGGGUGUCUCUAACUCUGGUGCCUUGUGAAGGCCAGGAGAUAUUCCAGACAAGCUGAAAUUCUACCUUUUUAUGAGUAUAAAGGAAAUGGGGCCAUGUUGGACCAAACAAAGAGUAAUAAAAUAAAAUAUAGAGUUGUAGCUUUCAGAGGGAAAGAUAAAACAAGAAAGGGCUGGGGCAAUGGAUGUGGUGUUGAGAUACUGGCACCAGGAAGCAGGGAAGAAAACCUCCAAACACAUUGUGGUUUGUUAAAACACUGAAGACUCCUAAGUGCUACAGUGGCAGGCAGUGCCACCCCACCAGGCAGCAGUGUCCUCCGCAACUGGGGAAGAGGAAGUAGGGCCUAAUGAUUGCUCUCGGAGACAGAGAGUCUGCUGUCCUGGGCUUUACCAGCCUGGCUUGUUGGGUGACCUUGAGUGACUUAUCUCCCUCUCUUGGACAAUUUUCUCAAGGUUCUCACACAGUCCCUAGCUAACUAAAAGGGUCUGAUGAAGAUAAAUGUGUUAAAAGAAAAUUUAGAGGAGAGUCCACAAACUGUCCCUCCAGAUACACCUGCUGGUGGGUUUUAGGAUUUUUAAACAUUAAAUUUUAAUGCAUUUAGGCAGGGCUUGGUAUUUUCUAAUUCACACAGUAUCUACCAUCUUGAGUCUUCACAUUUGGCUCCUGAAGGCCUCUGAGUAUAUGACUUCUGAUUUCAAUGCAACCUCUGGUCCUUCAAACCAGCUUGGAAUUGCUUCAUUUACAACUCAUUCUAUGUUUUCAUCAAUUACAUGCAAAUAUGUAUUUCUAAAGUUUCACAAAACAAAGAUUUUGUUGGCCUAACUGUAAUUUGCUCUAAAAGACAUUUUUUUUUCUAGAAAAUAUGGCAAAAAUUACAAUUUUACCUUCCUUCUAGUUCAUCCAAAUUCUAAAACUUUAAUGUUAUUUGAAAACAUAAUUUGGCACCAAGUAUUCUUUAGGUUAUAAUCUAAGUUGCUCAUAAAAUGUAAUCUAGGCCUGGAUCAUUUUACUUUGAGGAGAAAACUUAUCACUAAAUAAUAAUGAUCUUAAGUCUGUUCUUUUGCCACUUCCCAGAGCUCUCUCCUAAGGCACUGUGGAAAAGUCAGGAGUAAAUUAGACUCCCACAUCUAGUAACCAAAACACCAUCAUCUCCAGCAUUACCACAGUCAAGUAUGCAGCUCGUCAUAAAUAUUUACACCUUGCAGGGUCCUUUGUGCACAACUCUGAGAGACAAAUGGCAUUUCCAGUAAUAGUUUAUUGAUUUCCAAAUGCACAGGGGCACCAAGUCCGAACAUCCUGGGAUAGCAGUAAAUCUCUCUUACAAAAUAAUUUACAGUAUGAAAAUGAUAUACUGAAACAUUAACCCAAACGUGUAAUUCCCUUGAAAGAUUCAGUGUUCCCUUGUUUAAUGUAAAGGGUGGAAGGGGAAGAUUCCUAAGGAGGGAAUGUGACUGUGCACAGGAAAAUAGGCAGAGGACAAUGGAUUCAUUGGUUCUCCCCAUUCAUGCAGUGUGGCCUGUCACUGUAGAAAGACUGGUCAGGUUUAACCCUCAUUAAGUAUUAAUCUGCUGUCCCCUCAAAGUCAUAUCAAGCCCAGUAUGGGCUCCGUGGCUUUUUUUGCACCAAUGUAUCCAUAAGUGUCUCCACUUAUUUUCAUUUUUCUGCUCUGGCCCUCGUUCUGCUGUUUCUGGUAUGUUCUCAGUUCCAAAUUAUACUAUCUUAUCUUACCAGGCAGGCCUCCAGAAUCAAGAACUGCCUGAGUCUUAUGGUUUCUGGAAUGGGACAGGGUAGGGGGCUUCAUAAGCACUGCUGGAUAAAGGCAAUAAUAAUGAGACUGAAGUCUCCCAUAUGGGCCUUCUUUUUCUCUUAGAGCUGGGCUGGACUCAAUCCAUAAUGAGAUUUUUUUAAACAUAAAAAUCUGAUGUGAUCAGCACACAGUAAACGUGCAGUUAAUUUUCUUAUUGAGAAGCAUGUAUUGCACAGCCAUUAUAUGAAUGUGGAAUUUCAGGAAUGGCAAGAGAAUAUUUUCUACUUGGGGAGAGAGGACUUCCUAGACCCUGCCACAACUACAAGGUCAUGAAUUCUGCAUUUGUGCCCUUAGGAGCUAAUGACCUUUGCUAGGGAAUUGCUCUUCCUGUAAGCAAGUACCUAAGCCCCAACUAUAUGGUGACACUUGUAAUUAGGGCUGACAGAAAUCUUUGAAGUAGUACGCAAGAUAAUGAAGGGGCUGCUUUGAGUUUUCCUUAGCUCUCAAAUAUUGUGUGUGUGUGUGCGGACAUGUAUGUAUGUAUAUACAUAUACACACAUAUCACACUUGUCCUUUAUAUAUAGGUACACACUCCCCCGACACACACACUAAAACCAGGAAUCAGUAAGAGAGUCCAGAUUCACUGGACUUUGAAUUGCCACAUCCUCACAGAGUACACUGGCGGCUAAGUUUACUAAAAUAUGAAGAUUUCCUUUUCUACAGGAGUGAAGCUGCAGACAUUUUCAAAUAAAGUUGAGUAGAGAGCAGAACACCCUUCACUUUUACUACUGCUGCAAAGUUCUAUAUCUUUGAAGGCCAAGAAACACCUUAUUUAUGGAAGAUGGCAUGAAAAAGGAAAUGUUCUCCUAACUCCUGGGGGUGGGCUCAAGUCAGCAAUGUGUACUUAAAGCAUCUGCUAAAGGGGAGAAAUAAGGCUACCUCAAUGCCAUUUCUGAGCCCUAACUAUAACUGUGAAAUGUCAUUUUGAAGAAGAUUCAUAAAUUGGGAUGGUCAGCACACAGUGGGAAAACCUGAAGUCUUUUUAUCCUUCUGUUUUUAGGUGGACCAUGGUGUGUGGUACAAAGUGCCUGUCCACAGAAUUAGGGGGAGCUGCGUUCAAGAUUUGGCUUGAGUAUUUCCUAGCUGUAUAACUUGAAGCAAAUGACUCUUCCACUCCCCAUCUGUUUUAUUAUCUAAGAGACAGCUCAGGGCCUGGCUCAUAGUUGUUCCUUAAUACAAGUUAUUUCCCUUCUUGGGCUGUCAGAGCCGAGACUCCAAGCACUUCUUGGGACUGUCCUGGAUUUAAUGAUAUCAAAUCAAAGUCCCUCUCAGCAUCCAGAAAUUCAACAUUUGAAAGAUAGCCAGAAAUUGCUAUGAGUAUCCGACUGAUUCUGGAAACAUUCAUUACCUGCCUCCCUUGGUGACUUCUCUUUAGGGGUUUCAGCAAACCCUGCCACCUGCACCCAGGCAAGACCCAAUUCUGAGCUCUCUAACUUUUACUGACCUGGCAGGAGGGAAGCCUCAUCAUGCUGGGGCUUAAGGCCAAGCAGCAUGCUCCAGCUCUAGGGGAAGGUAGUGCCACUGCAGGAAGCAUCCUAGUUCUUACAUUGAUAAAUGCUGCCGGCAGGAACUUAGAAGCCUGGGCAAAAGCUGCUGCACUGUGUUUAAUGCUUCCCUGGUUAAAGUUUUAUCAGGUACUGAAGACAGCAGGAGUCUAUAAAGCAAAUCUGAAACGCUUUCUAAGUAAAAGCAAAAGUGCUUUCCUUGAGGAUCACAGAGAUAUGAUAAGUUACUGAGACAGGUUGGCAAAUAUUUUUAUAUUUCCAUUUAUAUCCACUGCAUAAAUGCUUGAAUUUCCCAAAUACUGAUUCAAAGUAGUAACAUAUGAUCAGAUAUGGAGAACCAAUGAUCUGUCUAUUGCUAAUAUAAGGCUACUAUUUGGAGAUCAAACAAUGAUUAUUGGGGAAAGACAAUACAAGCUUCCAAAUCCUAAAAUCUUUUUAAUCUUCUGAUACUUAAAUUUUUUCGAGAGUGGCCACUGGUCCUUCUUUUAGGGUACUUUUGUUGGAUAUGAUUGGUGGUUGUAAUUAAUGGUAUGCCAAAUUCUCCAGUCUUUGCAGAGAUAGGUAAAGCACCAAAAUUGUCCUAGCCAUUUCUUGGCCAUCAGUUUGAGAGAAAAAUGCUUUUUUUUUUUUUUUUUUAACACCUCAAACUCCCCUCAGCCCCAAUCAUAAAGGUAGAGGAGAGUGAAC
rnacentral:lncRNA from 10 species